rnacentral:rRNA from 2 species
UAAAGCGAUUCAGCGGGUUACGAUUGACGGAGCGAAGCGACGUCAAAGCGUAUACAAAGUCGAGUCGGUUUAAGGAUACGUUCGUUGGGUAGGGGAGCGUUCUGUAAGCCCGUGAAGGUGGCCUGUGAGGGUUGCUGGAGGUAUCAGAAGUGCGAAUGCUGACAUAAGUAACGAUAAAGCGGGUGAAAAGCCCGCUCGCCGGAAGACCAAGGGUUCCUGUCCAACGUUAAUCGGGGCAGGGUGAGUCGACCCCUAAGGCGAGGCCGAAAGGCGUAGUCGAUGGGAAACGGGUUAAUAUUCCCGUACUUGGUGUUACUGCGAAGGGGGGACGGAGAAGGCUAUGUUGGCCGGGCGACGGUUGUCCCGGUUUAAGCGUGUAGGUGUGUGUUCCAGGUAAAUCCGGUUCACUUUAACACUGAGGCGUGAUGACGAGGCACUACGGUGCUGAAGCAACAAAUGCCCUGCUUCCAGGAAAAGCCUCUAAGCAUCAGGUAACAUCAAAUCGUACCCCAAACCGACACAGGUGGUCAGGUAGAGAAUACCAAGGCGCUUGAGAGAACUCGGGUGAAGGAACUAGGCAAAAUGGUGCCGUAACUUCGGGAGAAGGCACGCUGACACGUAGGUGAAGUGAUUUACUCACGGAGCUGAAGUCAGUCGAAGAUACCAGCUGGCUGCAACUGUUUAUUAAAAACACAGCACUGUGCAAACACGAAAGUGGACGUAUACGGUGUGACGCCUGCCCGGUGCCGGAAGGUUAAUUGAUGGGGUCAGCGCAAGCGAAGCUCCUGAUCGAAGCCCCGGUAAACGGCGGCCGUAACUAUAACGGUCCUAAGGUAGCGAAAUUCCUUGUCGGGUAAGUUCCGACCUGCACGAAUGGCGUAAUGAUGGCCAGGCUGUCUCCACCCGAGACUCAGUGAAAUUGAACUCGCUGUGAAGAUGCAGUGUACCCGCGGCAAGACGGAAAGACCCCGUGAACCUUUACUAUAGCUUGACACUGAACAUUGAGCCUUGAUGUGUAGGAUAGGUGGGAGGCUUUGAAGUGUGGACGCCAGUCUGCAUGGAGCCGACCUUGAAAUACCACCCUUUAAUGUUUGAUGUUCUAACGUGGACCCGUAAUCCGGGUUGCGGACAGUGUCUGGUGGGUAGUUUGACUGGGGCGGUCUCCUCCUAAAGAGUAACGGAGGAGCACGAAGGUUGGCUAAUCCUGGUCGGACAUCAGGAGGUUAGUGCAAUGGCAUAAGCCAGCUUGACUGCGAGCGUGACGGCGCGAGCAGGUGCGAAAGCAGGUCAUAGUGAUCCGGUGGUUCUGAAUGGAAGGGCCAUCGCUCAACGGAUAAAAGGUACUCCGGGGAUAACAGGCUGAUACCGCCCAAGAGUUCAUAUCGACGGCGGUGUUUGGCACCUCGAUGUCGGCUCAUCACAUCCUGGGGCUGAAGUAGGUCCCAAGGGUAUGGCUGUUCGCCAUUUAAAGUGGUACGCGAGCUGGGUUUAGAACGUCGUGAGACAGUUCGGUCCCUAUCUGCCGUGGGCGCUGGAGAACUGAGGGGGGCUGCUCCUAGUACGAGAGGACCGGAGUGGACGCAUCACUGGUGUUCGGGUUGUCAUGCCAAUGGCACUGCCCGGUAGCUAAAUGCGGAAGAGAUAAGUGCUGAAAGCAUCUAAGCACGAAACUUGCCCCGAGAUGAGUUCUCCCUGAGACUUAGAGUCUCCU